rnacentral:miRNA from 1 species
CAGCAGACACAUUCCAGCCAAUCAGCAGCAGACCCUCCCUCCCAGACCUCCCACCUCCUGGACAGCAUCCAUUUUAUAUUCAUUGUGAAGCUGCAUUCUUAGUGAGCUGUCCAGGAGGUGGGAGGGUCUGGGAGGGAGGGUCUGCUGCUGAUUGGCUGGAAUGUGUCUGCU